GUCCUGGCCUUAAACGAUGGAUGCUUGGUGUCUGGGGUUUAUAGUCCCCGGGUGCCGUAGCUAACGCGUUAAGCAUCCCGCCUGGGGAGUACGGUCGCAAGACUGAAACUCAAAGGAAUUGACGGGGACCCGCACAAGCGGUGGAGCAUGUGGUUCAAUUCGACGCAACGCGAAGAACCUUACCAGGGCUAGAAUGCCUCUGACAACUCCAGAGAUGGAGCCUCUUAGGGAAACCUAGGCAGAGUGCAAGGUGCUGCAUGGCUGUCGU
rnacentral:rRNA from 1 species